AACGAACGCUGGCGGCAGGCCUAACACAUGCAAGUCGAACGAACCUUCGGGUUAGUGGCGCACGGGUGCGUAACACGUGGGAAUAUACAUUUCGGUAAGGAAUAACACAGAGAAAUUUGUGCUAAUACCUUAUAAUGACUCCGGUCCAAAGAUUUAUCGCCGAAGGAUUAGCCCGCGCUAGAUUAGUUUGUUGGUGAGGUAAGAGCUCACCAAGACUACGAUCUAUAGCUGGUCUUAGAGGAUGAUCAGCCACACUGGAACUGAGACACGGUCCAGACUCCUACGGGAGGCAGCAGUGAGGAAUAUUGGACAAUGGGGGCAACCCUGAUCCAGCCAUGCCGCGUGAAUGAAGAAGGCCUUAGGGUUGUAAAAUUCUUUCAGAUGCGAAGAUAAUGACGGUACCAUCAGAAGAAGCUCCGGCUAAAUUCGUGCCAGCAGCCGCGGUAAUGUCAGUG
rnacentral:rRNA from 1 species